GCACCUGUAGCUCAAUGGAUAGAGCAAUGACCUCCGACGUCAUGUGUGCAGGUUCAAUUCCUGUCAGGUGUA
rnacentral:tRNA from 1 species